UACAGGCUUAACACAUGCAAGUCGAGGGGCAGCAUUUUAGUUUGCUUGCAAACUGAAGAUGGCGACCGGCGCACGGGUGAGUAACACGUAUCCAACCUGCCGAUAACUCCGGAAUAGCCUUUCGAAAGAAAGAUUAAUACCGGAUAGCAUACGAAUAUCGCAUGAUAUUUUUAUUAAAGAAUUUCGGUUAUCGAUGGGGAUGCGUUCCAUUAGUUUGUUGGCGGGGUAACGGCCCACCAAGACUACGAUGGAUAGGGGUUCUGAGAGGAAGGUCCCCCACAUUGGAACUGAGACACGGUCCAAACUCCUACGGGAGGCAGCAGUGAGGAAUAUUGGUCAAUGGGCGAGAGCCUGAACCAGCCAAGUAGCGUGAAGGAUGAAGGCUCUAUGGGUCGUAAACUUCUUUUAUAUGGGAAUAAAGUUUUCCACGUGUGGAAUUUUGUAUGUACCAUAUGAAUAAGGAUCGGCUAACUCCGUGCCAGCAGCCGCGGUAAUACGGAGGAUCCGAGCGUUAUCCGGAUUUAUUGGGUUUAAAGGGAGCGUAGGUGGAUUGUUAAAGUCAGUUGUGAAAGUUUGCGGCUCAACCGUAAAAUUGCAGUUGAAACUGGCAGUCUUGAGUACAGUAGAGGUGGGCGGAAUUCGUGGUGUAGCGGUGAAAUGCUUAGAUAUCACGAAGAACUCCGAUUGCGAAGGCAGCUCACUAGACUGUCACUGACACUGAUGCUCG
rnacentral:rRNA from 1 species